rnacentral:lncRNA from 1 species
AGUAGGGAAGUCACCAGGACCCUCGCUGGGACGGUGACAUAUAAACAAAGACCUGAAGGAGGUGAGUGUGGAAGAGAGCCAUGUGGAGCCGUGCAGGCAAAGGCAAGUGCAAAGGCCCCGAGGCAGGAGCGUCCCUGGGGUGCUGCACGCAGCACGAGGGAGGAGGCCACUGUGGCUGGGGGCGUGCUCUAGGUAGGGGGAGGCUCAGCCGAGUGAAGUCACUUGCCUCACAAGGAGGAGGGCAGCCGAAACUACUAUGCCGGGCUUGACUGUAAAGUUGGGGUUCUUACCAACAGAGGGCCUGACAGUCCGGGGAGGAAAGUGGAAGGGGUUGAGAGCCAGUCCCGGCACCCCGGGUCACCACGCGGGUGUAGCCCACCCUCCUGGGGCUGUUGUUCCAGAGGAAAGAGGGGAGGAGCCUGUGCGGAGUCGGCGGAAGGUGGGACAACUGUGGUCUGGGAGAAGGCGUCCCCCUGAAGGUACCCCAAAGGACAAGCAGAAUCCGCAGGACAGAGGCCUGGUCACCUCGACCUCCCCUGCCCAGCGGGGGGGGGGGCUCUCUAGGCCACACGGAGCCCCCUGGAGCGUCCUUUGUACCCGAUUCCAAUUAACAUCUGUGUGUAACCUUGUCAACGCUGGCCCUCCCUCAGGAUGAAACUCGCAGACCAUUCGGGGAGAAAUUUGGGGAACCGAAACUUUUACCCUCUCUCGACUCUCCUCCCCGCUCUGUCUACAUUGACUGUUGUGUCUCAUGGCAAGUUAAAAGCCAAGGUCUAUGAGGUAGGGGUCAGGCUUGGCAGCAUUUCUCAGUGAUGUCCUACGUUCACUGCGAAAAGGAUUCUGGGGACAGAUGUUCUGGAAAUUCUAUGUGAGGUCUUCCCCCUCGGGAAGCUUCACGUUACAUAUAAGCACAUGAAAGAAUCUAACUCAGGCAAAAAGAAGCAAAAAGUUUGUCAAACUCUGUCUAACCGGGUUCUUCAAACUUAUUUGACCGCAUACCCUUUUUUUCAAAGUUCCUGUUUGCCUAUCAGCUGCCAUUCAUUCUGUUGUUGCAUCAGACACCCCACCUGAGCCAGUCUAUACAACCGAAAGGGUACGUUAGCCUUUGUGACUGAGAAGUCUAGAAGUCACGGGGGCCUCGGGUAUGGUUACGUCAAGAGCUCGACUCCAUUUCUGGGGAGUUCCCCUCGGAUGUCUAUUCCCUCCUCUGUGCGUUUUUCAGCUUCAUCCUUAGUCUGGCUUUCCUCAUGGCAGCAAAAUGGCUGCAGCAGUGCUGGGCAUCACAUUUGAGUACCCACUUCACAGUGGAAGAGAAGCCUUCUCUUCUCCCCAUUAUGCACUGCAUGUUCUGACCCUAUUUAGACCAAGUGCCCAUCCCUGAGCCAAUCACCAGGCGAGAGGAACGGGCCAGCGAAAGCCUACCCCAAGGAUGAAAUCAUAGUGCUCUCUAUAAAGCCCAUGACAAUGUCCUCUCUCUAGUAACACCCACCCCACCUACCCCCACCCCAUUUUUUCCUGUUAAGAUCCUAAGGAAGGUAGGCUCCCUCCUGAGCCCCGGGUAUAAAUCCUGAUUUGUCCGAAGGGCAUGUAAUUCUCUUCAUUAACAGUUGGUUUAGGCGUGUCGUAUGGAAACCAACUUGACAAUAAAUUUCGUAUUAAAAAAAAAAAAACA